GCCUUAAAACCAUCGUUCAAAAGGCUGAACUGUGCCUUUAAAUGUAUCUGGCCGUUGAGGAAUGCAAAAUAAUAAGGGACCGGUCAUUAUUUAUGGUGGGGGGUGGCACCGAAGAGAAAUGUUUUUCGUGCCAAAAAUUUUGCUGACCCAACCAUUAAAAAAUAAAAAAUUUGAUUACCCAACCUCAAGUAUCAUUUAAAAAAUAAAUACCCACCCCUGGCCAAAAACGUUACAAAAGGAUGUCAUUCAGUUGUCACACAUGUCCUUUACCACUUCUGUGACACGAGUUUGAUAACGUUCGGCUUGUGAAAUUUACUGACUUUUCUCCAGUCUAAAGUUUCAUGUUGUCUGCACAUCUACUUUCUUUGGAGACACCAUUAAUUUGUCUCCCAACAAAUCGGAAAAUGAUCAAGAUAGUGACUCUGAUCAUAGCCAAUCCAGAAGACAUGCCAGACAAUCAGAGCAUAGACAAUCAAGGACUGUCUUCUGGAUUGUCUAUGCUCUGAUUGAUUCACAUAUUGUAUUGACGUAUGACUGUUGACAUUGACGUUUUCAGUCUUCAAUAUUUGAGUGAGUCAUGCUUUGGAAAUGACAAUAAAUUUUUAUUACCCAACCCUUGAGCUGUUUCUUUUUUCAUUUACCCAACCUUUUACUCACUCAAAAUUUUGUUUACCCAACCCUUUUCUCUUCGGUGCCACCCCCCGCCAUAAAUAAUGACCGGUCCCUAAAGAAGGAAUUCGUUUCGGAAAUUUAUUCAAGAUCUUAUCAAACAAUGCAGUGCUUUUACAAUAUAUACUUGAGAAACUAUCUAAAAAUACCCAAAGCAUCAUAUAUUCAUAAUAUAAAUACAUUAAAUAAAUCUACAACAGAAUUUAAAUUCAAUCGGUCAAAAUCCAUUAAGUUUGUCCUACUACUCCACAAUAUUAAUAUACUAUACAAAAACGAUAAAAUGAAAACUAUUUACACACGACCGGAAGUUGCGCAGAAAAAAAUAGUCAUGUCGCUGAGUAUUCAUUGUAUGGCAUCGCGGGCUCAGUACAGAAUUUUCCCGCGCUUUUUGCUCUGCUUUAUUUCGACUUAUUUGUGGCGAAAUAAAGCUCAAAUUGUACGUUUAAAAUUUAUGCGUGAGACACGUAAUAUUGUUUCCUGGCUUAUAGCCUUUUCUUUACCUCAAAUUUCUACCAAUAAAUCCAAAAUAUAUCUUGAAAUUAUCAGUAUGUUCGCUUCAUCGAUAUUUUACUAUACGCGUCAGCAUGUACAAUCAACGCAUGCUCAGUUAACUAUCACUAAUUUGUGACCGCAAUUUCCCACCGUGUCGACCUUAAAAGGCUGAACUGGAACGCUACAUCAAAUUGAGGGUUUGCGUGGUAUCCCAGCUCCCUCGAGCACAAGAAAAAAACGAGACCGAAAGUUGCAUAUUAGAAUGGCCAUAUUUCCCGUCUCAUUCAUACUGUGGCUUCUCUGUAGUAUGAAAUUCACUAUCAGUGACAAUUUUGUCAACACGGACAUCACACGAAAAUCAGUUUAGAGACCUUACGAUUUUAGGACGGCAACGGCUACCAAUAUACAAUAAACCAUUGAAAAGAAUUGAAUAAUUACAAUAUAUGAAUAAUUUAGACAUUGUCCUCGCUCUGUUUAGAACGCCAAAUCACAGAUUUUGACGUCUUGAUACAACGGCUGCAUUUCAAGCCGCAACAACUUCAAACUGGGUUUAGCAGAACUCUUCCCAACUAUAAAACCCAUGUCUUCAACUUCUACAACUGUAUUAAAUUCAUACGAUUGAUAAUAUACGACGAAUUAUCUUUACUACCAUUUAUUUGAAGGAGUUGUUUUGGCCGUCGUCGUCGCGUUGCCGUCCUAAAAUCGUAAGGUCUCUUUUAAUUCAUUUUUGCGGCAUUUUGCAUCAGAGCGCUCGUGUAAGGAAGAAAAAAAACUUUCAAAAAUUUUUAUGUUUUGUGAUAUGUGUUGAAGAUUACCACAAACUGAUACAAACAAAGUUUUUAAUCCAGUUCUCCCUCGGCAAUCUGACGUCCGUCUUGACAAAAACGUGGUUUCUUUAUGAAAUUAAGAAAUGUUGAUUAAAUUAAGAAAAUUCCUGGCUUAAACAAAUCAUUUUCUUUAAGGGUAGCGUCCCAGUUAAUAUUUGAUUUAAGUGCAAAUUACGCUAUCGGUUCAGAAUCAAAGCAGAGCGGGUCAGUGUCGUCAUUCAUUGCCAGGUCAUUAUAACGAGCGAUUCUCUGCCGUUUGCCACGCACAAUCCAGACAAUUACAGCGAUCAGUAUGACAAAGAAAAUCACGACACCAAUCACAAUAGCAGCGAUUGCUCCACCAGAUAAAGAUUUACCUGAAGAAAAAGAAUACAUUGAAUUAAAUUAACUUUAUUUACACUGGAUAGCUCUGUCAGUUCUUGACUGUUGUUCCUAGAGUCCAGGAAGGAUCGUCUCUUAUUGAUCCAGUGUUACUACAGGAGGAAACCUAAACUAAACUAACUUUAUUUAUACUGGAUAGCUCUGUCAGUUCUUGACUGUUGUUCCUAGAGUCCAGUAAGGAUCCUCUCUUAUUGAUCCAGUGUUACUACAGGAGGAAACCUAAACUAAACUAACUUUAUUUAUACUGGAUAGCUCUGUCAGUUCUAAACUGUUCUUCCUAGAGUCCAGGAAGGAUCGUCUCUUAUUGAUCCAGUGUUAUUACAGGAGGAAACCUAAACUAAACUAACUUUAUUUAUACUGGAUAGCUCUAUCAGUUCUAAACUGUUUUCCUAGAGAUCUAGUAAGGAUAAUCUCUUAUUGAUCCAGUGUUACCACAGGAGGAAACCUAUACUAAUGGCUAUAAACCACGACGCGUGAAUCACGACUUUCGAAUUUCACGAGUUGUUGAAUGCGACAGUAUUGGACAUGUUUGAAACUUAAGCCCCGUUUACACUACGCUCAAUUUUUGGUACGGCACGGAUAAAAUUGGUACCCGUACCACUUUUUUGGUUCUUGGACUACAUAUUCAGGUAGUCCAAGAACCAAAAAGUGAUACGGUACCAAAAAUUGAGCGUAGUGAAAAAGGGGCUUUAACUGACUUUAUUGGAUAGCUCUAUCAGUUCUAAACUGUUCUCCUUAGAGAUCCAGUAAGGUCAUCUAUUAAUCCAGCGUUAUUACAGGUUUAACUACCUUUUUCUACUGGAUAGCUCUACUAGUUCCAACACGUUCGUCCUACGAGUAAGGAUGAACCUUUAUUGCUCCAGUGUUACUACAGGGAGAAACUAAAACUAAACUAAUUUGGAUACUAGCUUUAUCUUUCCUUCCUUCCUUCCUUCCUCCCUUCCUCCCUCCCUUCCUCCCUCCCUCCCUCCCU